AUACGAGGAUGUAUUGCCUUGCUUUGGUGUUGAAUUUGUUGUUUCCAUGCCUGACAAGUGUGCACAGAUCACCAUUGAAAGUUAGUACACAAAAGAACUGAGGAGUAUUUGUGUAGCAACUAAUUCUAACUUUAUGCCUUGGCUAUAAUUUCCUUUGUUUUGCUCUCAGCUAUGGUAAGACCUAUAAAGUAAUUUAAAAACUGCUUAAGGCACCCCAUUUUAGUUAGACUAGAAUAUUAAAUCUAGUAGCCUACAACGUGGUGAAUUGGUUGUCACUAGCUUCCAUUUGGCAACAUUUCAAAAUUAUCAGUCCUUAUGCAAAUGUAAGAACCUUUGAUUUCAUUGUAGGAAAAUUAUGUGGGGGUAAAUGAUUUCCUCUCCCACCCCCCGGCGGCGGCAAGAAAUUCCAAUCGUAAAGAUGAAAAGUUCUUCCAAGUAAUCACUAAUCACAAGGAGGUUGAAUAUAGAAGCAUAUAGAUUUCUUGUCCUGGUGAUUGAAUAGUUUUGUGCCUUGGUAGAGGGGGAAGAGUGGGAUGACCCCUGUUUCUUACCAUUGGUUUGAUUGUUACACAAUUUUGGAAUGAAAUUUUGAAUUUGAACAUACCUGAAGUUGAAAUCAAUAGGUGAAGAAAAAGAGAUUAAGGCAUUGAAUUCAUGUUACAUUGGUUCAAUCUGGGCUCUUCAAUUCUAAUUCACCUACAGGUACUUUUAUGUUUCUUUUCUUCUUGUGAUGCUGUUACAUUUGCUUUAUAAUCCAAGGUCAGUAACUUCUAUCUCCAGCCUUUAUGGGCCCAGGAAUAUUUUGAAUUCAUUCAAGAACAUCAUGCACAAAUGUUCCGUCCUCAUUCGGCCUCAUCCAAUCUAAACAUAAUCAGAAGGAAGUGUUUGUAAAAAGGCCCAAUAUCAAUUUCAAGAUGCAGCAGCAGCAAGGUUAACCUGGAAUGCUAGUUUCUUUAAUAGUCCAUCUAGUUUGAUAACAUAUGAAAAACAAACUAGGUAUUUUUCAGUGGUACCUUUAUUUAGUUUUCCAUCUAUGAUUUUGAAUAGUUGAAACCUUUUAUUUUAUUUUAUUUAGGUAACAUUUUUUUAGAAGAAAGAGGGAAGCUCUCAUAACUAAAAUCUAUAAUUGCUAAUUUUGUAGUCUUAAUGUUAUAGGGUUAGGUACUUGCUAUUUUUCAAGUUUCUUAGUCAGUAUCUUAUGCUUGUUCUGUAUCAGAGCCAAAUUCUUUCUCAGCAUGAAAGAGUGCAAAGUAUGAGAAGUGGCUGCCAGUAGGGAUGAAGUUAUUAUCAAUUCAUUGGCUUCAUUAGUUGGAUUAGGUAACAAUUGCAUAAUCUCUUUACCCAGAACAACAUUAUUGGAAGUGAACUGAAUUUCUAAUUGGUUUAUUGUGACUUCUACACUCUCUCAAGUUAAUCAUGUUUAACUAGAGUUUCCUCAAUUUGCUCAUAAAUAUUGUUUUUUCUAUUUGCUUUCUUUUGUCCUGAAUCCCUAACCUUGUUUUUAAAAUUUUGUGGUCUAAACCUGUUGGAGAAGUAAAUUUUAUACUGGUGAAAAUUGUUAAGCAGGGUUGCUCCCCAGAUAGCCUUGUCUUACAAUUUGGCACAAGAUAGCUGAUUGAUGAAGCUCCACAGGCAAAGCUCAAUAUGCCAGAAUAACGAAGCUCCCUUUUUUAUUCAUCCUGAAUCAUUGACCUUGUAUAUAGAACUCUAUUCUCAGUUCAUGGAUGCAACAAAAACUGAUAGAUGAUGCUCCAUUCAACAUGAUGAAUGUAGCAUGCCUUGGAUGUCAAGCACUUAUGCAUGAACAAGAAACUGGGCAAUUGCUUUUAUGUGUAUCUGUAAAUUAUUCUUUCUCAAUUUUUAUUUUGAAUGUGAAUGAUGUUUAUCUCCAUCCAAGCAGAUGCUUGUAUUUGCGGCAAAAUUGAUUUGUAUAAGCAGUGCUUUUGUUAAAUUUCACUUCUUUGAUGAUUGAUAUCCUAAGAUAGUAUUGCAGCUGAAAGAAGUGUUAGUAUUUAAUAAUCAUCAAUAAGCAAGUUGCUUGGUU